GUACUAGCUACGACGGUACAUAUUCUAAAUUGGAACGAUACAGAGAAGAGUACCAUGACCCCUACGCAAAGAUGACACACAAAUUCGCGAAACGUUCCAUAUUUUU